GCAUGGGGGAACCUGACCGCAAUGCCGCGUGAGUGAAGAAGGCCUUCGGGUUGUAAAGCUCUUUUGUCAGGGAAGAAACACCGGCUCUAACACAGUCCGGGAAUGACGGUACCUGAAGAAUAAGCACCGGCUAACUACGUGCCAGCAGCCGCGGUAAUACGUAGGGUGCAAGCGUUAAUCGGAAUUACUGGACGUAAAGCGUGCGCAGGCGGUUAUACAAGACAGGCGUGAAAUCCCCGGGCUUAACCUGGGAAUGGCGCCUGUGACUGUAUAGCUAGAGUGUGUCAGAGGGGGGUAGAAUUCCACGUGUAGCAGUGAAAUGCGUAGAUAUGUGGAGGAAUACCAAUGGCGAAGGCAGCCCCCUGGGAUAACACUGACGCUCAUGCACGAAA
rnacentral:rRNA from 1 species